GGCGGACGGGUGAGUAACGCGUAAAGAACUUGCCCUUUAGACUGGGAUAACAGAGGGAAACUUCUGAUAAUACUGGAUAAGUUAGUAUAUCGCACGAUAUGCAAAUGAAAGCUACGGCACUAAAGGAGAGCUUUGCGUCCUAUUAGCUAGUUGGUAAGGUAAGAGCUUACCAAGGCGAUGAUAGGUAGCCGGCCUGAGAGGGUGGACGGCCACAAGGGGACUGAGAUACGGCCCUUACUCCUACGGGAGGCAGCAGUG
rnacentral:rRNA from 1 species